rnacentral:lncRNA from 1 species
UGUGCGACCACAUGCUACGGCAUCCUGACCCUUGGGCUGAGCAUCGUAGCCGCUGCGGCUGCUAACCACAAACGACUGUUUACCGACCGGCGUGCAGCUAGCUCAUUUCGUUCAUUUCACGGGGAGGGACGCUGCAGUUAUAGUUCCAUUGUACCGCUAUCAAGUAAACCAGACGGCCUACCUCUCGCUAUCAUUCGGGCGAGUAGCCGGCUCGUCUCUUUCGCCGCGCAUCAUGCGUUCACAGGGCCUUCGCAGGGCCCUUGGCCCCCAUCUCGCCCCUACUUCCUAACCGACGCUGUCGCGUUGCUCCGAAAUGCCAUGAGCACUCGUUCCACCGUCAGCUCUCGCAUGCGGUACGCCCCAGAAAUUACUACCUCGCGUCUCACCGACAGCGCCACACUAAAACUGAUCUCGUCAUACGACAGGUUUGGGUUGCUCGGGUCGUAUGGCUGUACAACGAAUUCAUACUUCACCCCUGGCGCCAUAGGUUUGAAGAAGUAGCCGCCUCGCUCUGCGUCUG